CGCGAACCCAGCAGCCCCGGCGCCGCCGACGCAGCCAACAUGGCUGAUGGGAGAGUCGAUGCCACGUCAAAGGGCAGGGAGCGGGUCGCGGUCGCGGUCGCGGCGCCAGCCCCGCCCCCGGCCCGAGCCGAGCCGAGCGCCUGCAGCGGGGGCUGCUCCUCGCCCCGCCCCGCCCCGCAGGUGGCCGUCCACAGUGAUGAGCUGAACAAGAUGCUGAGGUCACCAUCACUCGAGGUGGGGUCCUGUCCGACAUCCAGGUGAUGCUGCUGCCGAAGAAACCUGAGAGCCACAAAGCCAAGAACAAGUGAGAUCUGAUUCAGACCUAGACUAGGAAACAUUCAUAACAACCCCCCUUAACCUCAUGUCACACAGCAGCAGAGGUUGGAUGCUGAAAGGCAGAGGGAACUGGGUAUGACCAGGUUUUUUCCUGCUGUUCCUCUCUCACUUGCAGCCUCCAGCAUUCAUGGUCUAGGACAGGGGUCAGCAACCCCUGGCACAUGUGCCAAGCAUGGCACACAAGGCCAUUUUGCUCGGUACACCACCGCCAGCCCAGGCUCUAAGCAGCUGCUGCCAGCCACAGAGCAGAGGCUGCUCCCAGCAGGCAGCUGGGAGGCUGCAAGCCCUGCUGCAAGCAGACUGGGCUCCUUGGGCUGGCUGCAGCCGGGAGGCUGCAAACAGCUGCUCUGGGCUCCAGCAUGUAGGCACUCUGGCACCUUCCAAGGUAGACAGUGUGGUUUUUUCAGCACUCCAGCCAAAAAACGUUGCCUACCCCUGGUCUAGGAAGUUCUGAUUCACAGGCUGUGGCCCUUGGGGCCUUGUAGACAUUACACUGUAAGCCACAGGCAAUGCCUGGGGGGACACAGGAGAGCACGUCCCUCCCCCUGAGAUUGGUGGCCACUGCCAAAGCUGCCACCAGCUUCAGUGGGUGGUUGCCACCUCCCCCUCGCUGCCAAUGCGUCUGCUGGCAGUUGCAGGCGGUCCCUGCUCGCCACCCACCGCUCACCAGUGACACCAGUGAGCCCCACUGCUGACACCAGUGCAGCCACCUGCAGGCAGUCCCCACUUGGCCCAUCCUCGCUGCCAACAUCACUGCGGCUGCCUGCAGGCAGUCCCCCCUCACUGCCACCCCACUACCAACAACACUGCCACCACCACCGCCUGCAGGUGGUUGCUGUGCCCCCCACAGCCUCCGGAGGCACGCAUCGUUCAUGCUGUAAGCUGAACAAAUGUUAAUCGUCUUAGUGGAGCAGUCACACAGUAAGGCAACUCCGCUCAGACUGUCCUUCACCUGCACAGCUGUGACUUGCCACUAGAAGCUUGGUGAGUAGGACUAGGAGCAGGACCCCUUGGCUGCUCCUGCCAGGCAGCAAGCUCACCACCAUGUCAGUUGCAGCAGGACCAGAGAGACCUGGGGAAUAAGCUUCCCUGGGGCUCUGAUCUCACUGAACCAAACACAGUGGCCCCACACUGAGAGCAGGGAUAUUGGGCUUAAGCCUUGGGCUCUCUGGUCUCAUUGAGCUACAGCAGCUCCAUGCUGAGAGCAAGGCUGUCAGGGCUCACGCAGGGUUCAAAUUAGGGGGGAGUUCGGGGGGGGCUGACCCCCCCCAUAAGAGACGACAGCCUCCCCCACCCCCCAUAAGAGACUAAGCAGCUCAGGCAGCAGCAAGGGCAACAGCAGCUCCUUCCAGCUUCUGGCUACCAGCACCACAGACCCCCACAAGAGUCGGAGUAUAAUUUGAACCCUGGGCUUAUGCCUGGUGGCCAGUUCUCAGUUCAAGGCCACUGUGUCAGUUUCAGAGAGACCAGAAAGACCUGGAGAAGCAGCUUCCCUGAGGCUCUCUGGUCUUGGUGAAACCAACAUAGCAACUCUGUGCUGACAGCAUGGCUUAAACCCAGCAGUCCCACUUUCAUUGCAGACCUGUUGUGUCAGUUUUAGGGAAACCAACUCACUCGCUCUGAGGGGCUCAAUCUUUUUUUCUCCAGAACUCAGGCAGUGCCUGCUGUCCUGCACCCCACUGGCUGGGCUGGGCUGCCAGCUGGCCAGGUGCUGCCUGAGCUCCAAGGAGCCCAAUCCUUUUUUCUCCAGAGCUCAGGCGGUGGCCACCCACUGUGCCACCACUGGCGCAAACACAACCAGUCUAGGCAGCAGUGGGAGGCACCAAAGCUGCCAGGUGCUCUGGGGCUGCAAUGCUCAUUCUGCCCAACAUCCCCAAGGGGUGAGAUACAUACUCAGCCCCACUGUACUCCAAUGUCCCUGCUCAUCCUGUCUCAGGAGAGGGCACAGCAUUCUGGGAUACUAGAGAACUUCAACUUGGGCAGAACAGCUAUGGGAAGUGGCCACGCAGUAAUGGAACCGGAACAAAAUUAGGUGGAUUGGAGAUAAUCCUACCCUGGAGUCGUGUAACUUUAAACCAAAUAAUGAGUACUUUAAGCCACUUAAAAGGUGCUAACAGGCAGCCAGUCCAGGGGUAAAGAGCUCUAGAAGCCACCAAACUUACUGUAUAACAAGACCCUUAUUCCCAUGCUGAAUAGAUACUUGAUGCUCCUUUCCUCCAAUAAUUGUUCCAAUCCAUUUUUGAAUCUGGCUAAACUGUAAGCUUCCACAACAUCUGGUGGCAAUGAACUCCACACUUUAAUACACUAUGAGAAAAAGAAUGUCCUACUGGCAUGUUCAGUCAUUUGCUAGAGAACAUAUAAAGUUAAAAAAAAGCACACAACCCACAAGGCCAAAAAAAACAGUCAAGGGAUAUCAUUUGUCCUUGAGUCAUUAGUGUUAAAUGAACAUUUCUUAUUCAGAUUCAUUAAACAAAAUCUAGCCUUCUUGAGUGCUUUGGCAGUGAUACCAAUACUUCACUGGCAGUCAUUGCUACACCUGAGUUAACGCUACCACAUCUGAGUUAAAGUUUUUAGCUUGAGCUGAAAACAGUCUGCAGGGCUGUGAACUAGAAGAGAGACAGCUAACAGACAGCAAAAUUACAGAAGGAUAGUUUGACUAUAAUGAAACAUCAAGACUGUUAAGAAGGAUAGAGGAUCUUAACACCUGAGGAGUAGAUAGAUUAACAAGAAUAGGGGAAAAUAUAAUGAGCCAUGAAGUCAGCUAACUCUCUCAGCUCUGCCUGAAUAGAAAUGCUGCCCCUCCCAGGCACUUGCUUUUCAGGUUUGAGUAGAGUAGGAAUCAAAGGGUGGUGCAACUGCACCAGUGCACUCUCCUUAGAUCCACCCCUGCAUAUAGAACAGUAGUUCUCCACCUUGUUAGACUCAGGGCACCUCUUGUUUUCACUUGCUUUUUGACUACAGGAAAGUACUAGAGCAAUUCUUCUGUUGCAAAGAACUCGGAAAGUCCACAACUGCUUGGAAUGCUUUCAACACUAUGGAUUACUAUUUGAAAUCUCUGGGUUUAUCUUGUGACUCGUAUUUGCAUGCCUAACAAAGUUAACAGGGGGACACAGCAAGCUUCCACAGGCAGGGGUGGUGCCAGUGACAGCAGGAGUGUGGCAGCAGCAAAAAGUGAGAUCCUGCAGGCAGCUGCGGCACUCUCGGUGGCAGGGGGAGGGGGUGGCGAGCACCAGCAGUGAUCAUGGACCGCUGGCAGAUGCCAUUAGUGGUGUCAGCAGCGAGUAGGGGUUGGUGAGCGGCAACUGCCCACAGGUGCCGCUGGUAAUGUCAACAGCACCUUUUUGCAGGGGGUGUACCACCACACUCAGGGGGUGCAUGUGCAAUCCUACACGUCACCAAUGGGGCAUAGCAUCCCACGGUGUCCUUGAAAGGAACUCAGAGUACUUCAGGAUGCUGCAACACUCUGGUUGAGAUUCGUUGGUGUAUAUAUACAGAACUUACUCCCUCAUUUAGGCCCCAGCUGAGGAAAGCAUUUCAAUGCAAACUUUAUGAGUAGUGCCACUGAACAAAGGAGACCCUCACAUGCUCAAUUACAUAUCCCCAUAAUCAUAUUUAAUGUGCUACUGAUGUCCAAAGGCAUUUUUUCAAGGUAGAGGAACUUUGUCAAUUGGUGAUCCACCCUGUGCAUCAACGGUAUCCUGCUUUUAAUGUCUGGAAGAUUUCCUUAAUUAGCCAUUUCUAAUUAUUUUAGAUCAUUCCUAGUUGUGGUAGGCUCCUGGGGUUUUGUAUUCAUUUUACAUUUUCUAACUGGAAGAGAGUGUGUGUAUUAAUAAAUUAUUGAUACAAUUCUCAAAACGUUUAAAAUUGAAAUGCUGUGAUAUAACCACUAGAUGGAGCUUUCUCUCUUUCCACUUUCCAACGUUAGCUACAAUGUGCUAUUUCUAACACAUUUAAUUAUAUUGGAAAACCACUAUUACCAUUUAUUAAUGUUUAAUUUUAUACAAUGCACAUUUGUAUACACUUCUUUUCUGCUCUUUGUUCUUUUACUCUUCUAUUUUAAAAAAUUCUCAAUAUGGAAGAGACAGCUAAAAUAACAUUUACAUGUUCCUCAAAUUCUCUUGGCACAUUGCCUGUCUUUUGAGACUUGUAUUUAAUAAGGUACUGACUGCUUUCUAUUCUUGAUGAUCAUUUGAAUAUAUUCUCAGAAUUACUGUUUUUAAUUAAUUUCAGAGUUAUUCCCUUUAUGCUUUGUUAAUGCUGUCUUUUUGUAUACAUAGAUAGAACAUGUGUUUGGUAUUUCUAAAUAUAUAAUCAAUGAACUGUGCAAAAAAAAAAGCCGAAACAUAAUGGUUAAUUCUCUACUUAGAUUAAUAAUACAUAUUUUUUUCCAAAUAUCAGUGCUUAGUUACUACUACCCAUAAUUUAAUUGCCUUACUUGUUCUAAGGACAAUUAUAUUUGCUUGUUAGAUCUUUCCUAAAGAGACUUAAGACAGAAUAGCUGUUAUUUUUUUUAACUAUUCAUAGGACAUUUAAAUUCUUAUGACUUUUCUUUAAAUGUUACCAGAUGCAUUAAUGUAAAUGAGGAUUUUCCAAAAUCCUUCAAUAAAAACAAGGGAAAAACAACAUAUAAAUAAUCAUUUUCAAAAUUAGUCCUAGCAGAAUUACAGCUUUGUUUGGGUUAAAAGUAGUGUAUCAGUUUUUGUUUUCUCCCAUAACAAAAUUGCUGUAAUGACUAGGGUCCAGGAUUUCCAUUUCCCACAGAAAAACAAGAAAAAAACAUGGACUUUCCCUUUUACUUGACAAAAACACGGAUUUUUUUUCAUUUUAACAGAGAAACACAUGGGUUUUCCACUUUUACAAAGAGCUCUUUGCAGGCUGGCAGAGUUCCAACCUGCAAGGGGCUAGGGGAGCAGGAGAAGGGCAGUCAGGCAGAGGGCAUCAUGUGCAUGUAUAUGCACAUGGCUCCUAGGCAGUCUGGAAAGCAGCUCCCGCACAUAAGUCUGGCAUGGGGGGAAGGGGAGAUUGAUGCCCCCACAGGGAGGGAGGGAAUUGGGCAAGGCUAGGUCUGGGGCUGCUGCCCAGCUGGGGCAGUGCAUGCAGCUUGGGGCCUGGGGCUGGAAUGCCUGGCUGCAGGGCCCAGGCAGAGAGUGGUACAGGGCUGUGGGUGGCUUAUCGGGGGAGAGGUGUGUGCCCCUCUGAUCUGUGUGUGAAGCAGAGGUGGGGGCAGCCUGACCACUGCAAGCUUGGUCUCCCUGCCCUGCUGUCCUCCCCCUGGGGCUUCCGCAGCACAGCGGGCAGGACCAAGCACAGCAGGGCAGGGAGGAACAGGGAAGCUCCUUGUUGCUGCGAGCUCUGCACCACCCUGGCUAGGCGCCACCUGCCCACCCAGCAGGGGUGGCAGCACGGAUUUGUGCCCGUUGCUGCUGUUGGGCAGGCAGAGGGAGCCUCGCCAGGGCAGCAUGAAGCUUGCAGUUGCAACAAACUUCCUUUCCUGGCCCCGCUCUGCCCUGCUGCACUAGGUCCCCCCUGCUGUGCCAUGGAAGCCUCAGGUGGAGAGCAGCAGGGCAGGAAGCCCUGAGCCUGUAGUGAGCACCCCGCACCAUGGCCCCCCAUGGACUCCACUCUGGCCGCACUGCCUGCAGGGGUGAGAGGGGAGCUGGGCUCCGCACUCUGCUACAUCACAGCAGCUGCUGCCUCCUGUGGGCAGCAGCCAGGGCUUGGCCGCUGGUGCUGGGGGGGCCAAGUGCUGCGGACCAGUUCCCUGGCCCCGUAGCCGUGGUAGCUGGGGGCCCCUUCCAGCAGGGCUAGGGGGGUAGGGGUCUGUGGGUGAGGAGUGAGAAUCAUCAGUAGGGCCAGGGGACUGUGGCUGGGGAGUGAGGGGCACUAGCAGGACUGUGGGGCUGUGGGUGGGAAUGAGGGGCCUGGACCUGUGUCCUGGUGAGCUAAGAGAGAGGAGGAGCUCUGAUUUUCCAUGAUAAAAAACCCCAACUCAAAUACCAAAAUUUAUGGGUACAUAGGAUUUAUUUUAUUAUAGUGAUUGAGGCACUGGUAGGCUUCCAAAAUGCUUUAAAAUUGUAAAUAUAUCAAUAAAACACUGUGUUCAAUUGAUACCUAUAUAUAGUGGCAUUUCAUUUUAAUCACAGAUUUGGGGUUUUUAAUCAGAGAAUUUCCAAUUUUUUUUAAAUAGAAAAAUUUGCAAUAUUUUUUUCAGCGAAAACCAGGAUACCUGGUAAUGACUGGGUUUGCAAAAUAAUGUUACCAGCUUAGAAGAUGUUUAAACAAUAACCCUGACACAGGCCAAUAAACUGUCCUAAAUAAAGCAGUAACUGUGGUCUUUACCACAACUGACUGUGGGAAGGCAAAAAACGACCAUUGUCAUGUACAUUGUCUCUGAAAGUUUGAAAAUGUACGCCAGGUAAUAAUGAACAAUUGCAUUAAUCAACUAUUAGUGGCCAAAACAUUUUUACACCCAUUUAUGGUACUUCAGCUGUACUUACAGUCAUAUUUCUACGCAACCAAUCAUUUCUCAUCUGAACCAAAAACAGGACAUACCCAAAUGGAAGGACUGUGCCACCCAUUCUAAUGCCAUCAUCAGGUGGAAGGGAUAUUGAGCUGUGGGUUAUAAAGAAUAUCUGGGCUCCUUAUCCUGCAACACAGAAUGGAACCCCAAAUGUUAUCUCCCUAUUAUUUGGUUAUAUCCUGUACAGAGGACAAACUAUACACACAGCUGUGGGAUGACUAAUAUCUGCUUGAUAAAUGAUGUUUCAGCAAGUGAAAGACUCCCUCAGUACUGCAGGUUCUGAGAAUGCUCAAGUACUAUAGUGAUUGUCCAAGAAAGGGUGUAAAGCAGAAAGAGAUGUAACUCUGGGCAUGCCUGUAGAUGGCAUGCAAAAGGAGACAAAUGAGAUAAUAAUAGAAAGAGAGGAAGGAAAAAACCAGGAGAGUACCAUUGUGAAAUCCCAGUGAGGAUAACAGGUGUAAAAUCAUUUCGUUAUUAACAUGAUUAAAAAAACUAGAUUUCAUUUUGAUACGGACAAAAUCCUGCAUUACUUGCAUCUUAAACUUCCUUCCGAGAAGGUGUCACAGAUAAUAUAAUGAUAGAGAACACGCAGAGAAGCAAAAGUACUAAGAUGAAUGGAUAGGUAGAAAAAUAAAAUGGAGAUCUGGGUUCUAAACAGGGAGUACUACUAAGAUAAUGACAUCUUUCUGUUACCCCUUGUAUUCAAUAUGCAGUUACACUUCACUUAUUUCCAUGUUAGAUGUAUAUAUUACAUUUAAAGUUUUUGGCAAAUAUUCCCAGGUUGCAACUUACCUUCCCAUUGGGAAAUUUCUCCUUUAUGUUUCCUAGGCAGUUGAUAAAAAGAUAGAGUUUUCAUCUUUGACAGUUUUCUCUUCUUCACCUGCUGAAUCAUGUUUAGCUCCACCAGAUGUUCAAUGAACUAUAUUAUUAAGUCUUGUCAGCAGUGAUCUUGAUAUCUUUAGAAAACCACUUUUGUUGCUUGCAACAGUUUAAAAGUGGCUAAUUGAAUGUAUGUCAUUCAACUUUAAAAAUCAAAAUAAAAAAAUCAUUUUAACGUAA